rnacentral:rRNA from 1 species
UACGGAGGGUGCAAGCGUUAUUCGGAAUUACUGGGCGUAAAGCGCACGUAGGCGGCUUCGUAAGUCAGGGGUGAAAUCCCACGGCUCAACCGUGGAACUGCCUUUGAAACUGCAAAGCUUGAAUCCUGGAGAGGGUGGCGGAAUUCCUGGUGUAGGAGUGAAAUCCGUAGAUAUCAGGAGGAACACCGGUGGCGAAGGCGGCCACCUGGACAGGCAUUGACGCUGAGGUGCGAAAGUGUGGGGAGCAAACAGG